CUAUAUGAAUUUGAUGAAGGC
rnacentral:miRNA from 1 species